ensembl:lncRNA
GAUAAUCGUUUCUUCAAACUGAUGACAAAAGAAGCACUCGGAUUACUUGUGUCACAUAGAAUUUAGGAUUGAUAGUAUGCACAUUGGGAAGCAGGCUGAGAUCUGACAAACGCCACUUCCUCAAUGACAUCAUCCUCUAGGAAGUGACAUCAUAUUGGAGGGUAAACCACAAUGGCAUUUCUUGGUUUGUCUGUGAACAAUAUAUCUGUCUGAUAAAGCCAUCGCCAUACGCAGAUUGAGGCAGUACAACAAACUACCACUAGAGGGCAGAACAUGAUGGAUGUUGUGUCUAAACGAACAAAAGUUUGGCCUCUGGCUCCUGCAGGGCCCCCAAGCGAGCACUUUUUUGGGGUUCACAGUGCGGUGACCUCUGAGGAGAUGCAGUAACGUCCUGAACUCUUCAGCAUCAAAGAGAUCUGCGGGGGGCGGAGCUGAUACAGAACGCAUCACAAUGCCGGUCCACCUACACUCUCCCGCUCCUGUUCCUCACUUUCCUCAAGUAUGCGAAUAUGAAUGACUUCAGUCCUCUCCCUGUGACCUCUCUAUCACAUCACCUCUGGUACUUUAAUCCUUUUAGCUGAUGAUCACAGAUUUGAUUAAACUUUUUGUUUGUUUAAAUGGAUGGUUCACCUAAAAAUGUUCUGACAGUUUACUCACCCGCAGGCCACCCGAGAUGUAGAUAAGUUUGUUUCUUAAUGGGAAGAUUUGAAGAAAUCAGUCCAAACAGCUGAUAAAAACAUCACAGUAAUCCAGCCCAUCAGUUAACAUCUUGUGAAGUAAAAAUCUAUAUUUCUGCAAAAAACAAAUCCAUCAAGUUUUUUUUUUUUUUUUCUUCGAACCAUUGCGUCUGGCCAAAAUACGAGUCCAUAUAAUUCAUAAUAAUGCUUCCUCCUGUGAAAAAGUCCAUCUCCUGUUGUCCUCUCACAUCAAAAUCCACCGACAUAACUGUUUUGGACUGUUUUCUCUUGUAAACAGUGCUUGAUAUGUGCUGAUUUCUCUCCUGAUUCAGAUGAGAUGCCUUUUCACUGGAGAAAGCAAUAUUAUGGAUAGAGGACUCAUAUUUUAGUCACAAGAUGUUAACUGAUGGACUGGAGUGGUGUGGAUUACUUGUGGAUUAUUGUUUUGUUUUUAUCAGCUGUUUGGACUCUCAUUCUGACGGCACCCAUUCACGGCAGAGGAUCCUUUGGUGAGCAAGUGAUGCAAUGCUACAUUUCUACAAAUAUGUUCCAGUGAAGAAACAAACUCAUCUAAGUCUUGGAUGGCCUGAGGUUUGCAGCAGUGAUUCUUUGCAUUUCUUUAGGAUAAAAGCAGCACGAUAUCAGGCAGCGGUCAAAGAGCAGGUCUACUUUCCCUCGUUCUCCCCCUCUCUUGUUUUCUGCCUCUGGCAAAUCAUUCCCUCUCCUCUCCUCUUCUCUUCUCUUCUUUUCUCUUUUUUUUUUCUCUUUCUCUGUUCUUGUUGGGCUGUAAUUUAUGAUGUUGCAGCAGCACAAAUGAGAUGAAGUUUUUAUAACAGACGCCUGCUGACACACUUUAGCUCCCCUCUCUCUGUUAGGGAAAGUUAUUGGGCUUGUUAGUAACGGUCAUAAAAAGCUCGGGGCCGUUCACACUGUGCUUGUCAUGAUGUAGUUUAGUUAAUGUCAUUGUUUCAAGAGGGUGAAGUUAAUAAAUCACUAACUUCUCAAUGUGCUGCACACACACACACACACACACACACACACACACACACACACACACACACACACACACACACACACACACACACUCUCUCUCUCUCUCUGUUACUCAUACCUAUUUUUCUUGUAAUCAAAUAAUGUAAACAUUUUUUUUUAAAUAAAUAAAAUCUUAUGAAAUCAAAAAUGAAAUAUUUUUUUAAAUAAAUGUAUAUAUAUAUAUAUAUAUAUGUAUGUAUAUGUAUGUAUAUUAUUUAUAUAUUAUUUACAGCACAUUUUAUCUAUCAUCUAUUUUUUUCUAAACUUCUUGGGUAUAAUUUUUUUAAUGCAAAUGUUUAUGGUGUUUCUCCUCACAGUAACAGCAUACAACUGUCUAAAAGCUAUUUGCAAAUCAG